rnacentral:tRNA from 1 species
UGUAAGGAAGACUAAG